rnacentral:lncRNA from 1 species
CUUUUGUACAUAGAUUGAAUUAUUAGGUCAUACCUUUUGCUUUUUUGAAUUCGACAAUUUCAGCAGGAAGCAGUACAGGGUAUCGUUGAUUGGCGAAAAUAAACAAAUCAGUGAUCAUGUGACCAACCCUAGACAUAAGCAAUUUAGAUUUUGAACGGUCACUUUGAUAACUGAUUUCCACAAAAAUCCAUCUUUAUUUGCUAGAACUUUUCCUCUGUUACAAAGCAGCUUAGUUGGAUUAUAUUUUGGAAUUUUGUUGUAUUUGAAUUAUAAAUUAUUCUGUUUUGAUAUUUUU